rnacentral:rRNA from 1 species
UGGGGAAUAUUGCACAAUGGAGGGAACUCUGAUGCAGCGACGCCGCGUGCACGAAGAAGGCUUUCGAGUCGUAAAGUUCCUUUAUAUGGGAAGAUAAUGACGGGACCAUAAGAAAAAGCCCCGGCUAACUACGUGCCAGCAGCCGCGGUAAUACGUAGGGGGCUAGCGUUGUCCGGAAUCACUGCGCGUAAAGGGUUCGCAGGCGGAAAUGCAAGUCAGGUGUAAAAGGCAGUAGCUUAACUACUGUAAGCAUUUGAAACUGCAUAUCUUGAGAAGAGUAGAGGUAAGUGGAAUUUUUAGUGUAGCGGUGAAAUGCGUAGAUAUUAAACAGAAUACCGGUGGCGAAGGCGACUUACUGGGCUCAUUCUGACGCUGAGGAACGAAAGCGUGGGUAGCAAACAGG